AGCAGCCGCGGUAAUUCCAGCUCCAAUAGCGUAUAUUAAAGUUGUUGCAGUUAAAAAGCUCGUAGUUGAAUUUCGGGAUUGGCGCAUCAGUCGUGCCUUACGGGGUAUGAACUGGUGCAGUCAAUUUCUCACCUUCUGGAGAACCGCGAUGUCCUUAAUUGGGUGCCGCGGGGAACCAGGACCUUUACUUUGAAAAAAUUAGAGUGUUUAAAGCAGGCAUUUUUGCUUGAAUACAUUAGCAUGGAAUAAUAAAAUAGGACGGCAUGGUUCUAUUUUGUUGGUUUCUAGGACCACCGUAAUGAUUAAUAGGGAUAGUUGGGGGCAUUAGUAUUCAAUUGUCAGAGGUGAAAUUCUUGGAUUUAUUGAAGACUAACUACUGCGAAAGCAUUUGCCAAGGAUGUUUUCAUUAAUCAAGAACGAAAGUUAGGGGAUCGAAGACGAUCAGAUACCGUCGUAGUCUUAACCAUAAACUAUGCCGACUAGGAAUCAGACGAUGUUAAUUUUUUAAUGACUCGUUUGG
rnacentral:rRNA from 1 species